ACGAACGCUGGCGGCAGGCCUAACACAUGCAAGUCGAGCGCCCUUUCGGGGGAGCGGCGGACGGGUGAGUAACGCGUGGGAAUAUGCCCUUCUCUACGGAAUAGCCUCGGGAAACUGAGAGUAAUACCGUAUACGCCCUGUGGGGGAAAGAUUUAUCGGGGAAGGAUUAGCCCGCGUUGGAUUAGGUAGUUGGUGGGGUAAUGGCCUACCAAGCCGACGAUCCAUAGCUGGUUUGAGAGGAUGAUCAGCCACACUGGGACUGAGACACGGCCCAGACUCCUACGGGAGGCAGCAGUGGGGAAUCUUAGACAAUGGGGGCAACCCUGAUCUAGCCAUGCCGCGUGAGUGAUGAAGGCCUUAGGGUUGUAAAGCUCUUUCAGCUGGGAAGAUAAUGACGGUACCAGCAGAAGAAGCCCCGGCUAACUCCGUG
rnacentral:rRNA from 1 species